GGGGCUUAUGCGGUCAGAUUCAGUGGAUCGGAGAAAGGAGUGUUGGGUGAAAAGGAGAUGGACCUUUGUGACCGUAAGAAAGCAUCGGAAAGCGCCUUUGGACCGCAAAGGAACGGAUUCCCGCGUCGGCGCGUGCUUCUGUACGCGGUUGCUGCUGUUUCUUCUUCCGCGCUCUGCCUGCCGUCCAUCGCUCAGCUUCCCCUGUUUUCCCCUCUGAAUUACGCUUGUAUUUCAGAUGUGAUGAAGUGACUUUCGACUGAUGUUUCCCGAAAGCGGCAACACGUGUCCCUCUUACCCGGCUGGUGCAGUCCUCUCGUCUACAGAUGUGUCGCUUGAUGUACCCUUCGGAUGGCACACUGCCACUUAAUAAAAUAUCAAUCCUGCUUUGACAGGGAAGCCUUAAUUGAGUCCCUCGUCAGUUUUAUCAAACUGUGUGUUUUUUGUCGUUUGAAACUUUCCUCCUCUAUAUCCCCUUCAGUCUCUCUCUUGCUCUUAUGGAAUAUGCUAGUAGUUGAAUUCCUCUGUAACGAAAAGAGACGGAGGGCGGUGCUGGGAAAGAAGAACAAAGUGAAAGAAAGAAAACACUGGAACGGAAAGAAAAAAUAAGAACAAGCGCAAAAGUGGGAGAGAGCAGGAGAAAAUCGCCCAAGAGAGACGGUGCGAAGAAAAAACCCUUUGGAGGCUAUUUCGUCAUUGGAUUCAUAAUUCAGGUUCAUGAUUUUAAUUUCCCUCUGUUCUUAUCAAAGGCCGGUGGAGCAGCAGGGGGAAGGCUGGUAGUUAGCUGGGUAACUGCAUAUGAGAUGAGCUGCAGCGCUCCGUCACAACGCCUGGACGACAUAAUAGGGAUGUAAAUUUGCUCAGAACAACAUUCACUCACAACAAAUUCCUCUCCCAAACAAAACCCCGCAUUCAUGUGUUGUUUGCGAGACCUUUUUCUUUGACAUCAUCUACAUUUUCCCUCAGAAGCCAUAAGAAAUCUCUGGCCCUCCAAAGUAUAUUAAAUCACACAGAAAGACGAAAUGCUUGUUUAAAGACCUACGAAAAAGCUUGCAGAUGAAUAAUGAAUUUCCAUUGUGUGUGACUGCAGUCUUUUGAUAACAUUCUCUUGUAUGUCUAUAAUAAAAAUGUCGCUCUAUCAAAGUGUAUUCGUCUAUUGCAAUGUAGUAACAUUGUCACAAACUAAUACAGCCACUGGGCCACUGUUUUAAAGUUGGUAGCUUUUAGAUUUAGAGUUUGUUUCAGGCAGUUUGAGUCGCCCAUAAAGUAUCGUAAAACUGAGUAAUAAUUAAGCAAUAAGGUACGAGAGGCUGUACUUUAUCAUCCAAUAAUGUAACAGUUUCGGGGGUGUUGUUAGGCCCGCCACUGCGCGUCGUUGAGUUAACCCUCAAACAAAUAAUAUAAUAAUAAUUCUACUUGUAAUAAAAUGGGUGCAAACUUAUUUGUUCAGUGUACGCCACCACUACGUUGUGCGUGGUGUGUAAAUUUGAAGCGACUGUUGAUGCAUCCUCAAACUGUCCUUACUUUGAAGGCUAAAGGAACUACAUGCAUACAAACACCAUUACAUUUCUGUUUCUUCAUUUCUGAUUUCUUCCCUCUGUGUCAUCUUAUAUAUAUAUAUUUUCCCUCGCCUUUCUCUUGUCUCCUACAUUCUCUGCAUCUCGCUCAUUCACUGUCCAUCCCUCCUUUCGGUCCCUCUCUCACCGUUUCCCUUUCUUUCUGUCUAUAUUGCUUUGUCUUUGGUGCUUACAGGUCUCUGCAAUGCCACUUUACUUCCCAGUCAGCCGUUUGAUCAUUAAUUUAUCACAGUUCCAGCAGUUUGUUUGACAGGUGCUUUCAUCUGACUAGCACCAUGGCAUUGCUGAAUGAACAAGGGACCUAUAUGU
ensembl:lncRNA